UCGAGGUAGUAGUAAAGUCAGGACCAGCAUUUGUACAUUGUGUAAUCAAUGCUGUGAUAAAGGUCGAGCAUGUCCGUGGUCAGGAAUAGUUGGAGACACACCAUCCCUGUGUAAUUGUCAGACCAAUAUAUAUGGUUGUCAGGAUUGCGGAAUCUGUAAAACUUGUGCCAAUGAUUUAUGGACAUUGAAAUCUGUUUUACGGCCAUGUUGUGAUGUCACUGUAUAUGGAUCAAAAGACAAGGGACAUAACUCUGUCUUUCCUUUAAAUGGUCAGACAUAUAAUGAGUUUACAUGUGUUGCUCUGGCCAGUAAUGUACCUGUUUGUCUUAAACUGUUCGGUGAUACAUCAGAACAAGUUGUACAGGUUUAUCCAGGACCUGCUGUGGAGAUUGAAAAUCAGCAAGAUCUGGAGAAGUAUAAUCAAAAUGCUGAUAAUUUUAAAUCUUUGAUGUUUGACCCUGGUGAUGAGUUAAAUAUCACACUUCA